GCCAGGCACUGCUCUUUCCAGGGCAAAGCCGGGAAGAACGCGAAGAAUCAGAGCUGAAUCACAGAGCAAGGACCUCCUGAGGCCUCCAUCCUGGCCCCUACAUGGAGCACUGGCAAAGCUUCCCUUCCACCCAGAAAAAGAAAAGUUCUCCCAUGACAGUAUGGCUAGCAGAACAAGAAUCUGGCUGUAAGUGGUAAGCCUGUGCUGCUACAGUCUGGUGGAGGGUCAAGAAAGCUGAUUCAGAAGCAUGUCUUUUAAGAGUCUCCAUGCCAAGGACAGAGCCCAGUGACUUCAGUUUGGGUGUGGUGAGUUGACCUCAGAGUCUAUUGUGUGAGUGGUUUUCACUUUUGUUUUUAGUUUAUUUUACUUUUCUGGUCUCUCAGCUUUAUUUGGAAGUGCAGUCUAAGGAAAGCAUAUUGGUUUUGUAAGCACGCUAUGGUUUGCUCAGAUUUUUAAAUGAUAUAUAUAGGCUACCACUCUCCUUAUAAUACCAUGGUUAAAGAACUGUCAGUGUUUCCACCAGCUUUGGGGGUUUUAUUAUACAACCAUAACAAACUGCUGCAGGUUGAAAUUUGGCAGAUCUU
ensembl:lncRNA